UUUCGUCUGUCUGCCUCCCGCAUCGUGCGUCCCCGUCCGCGUCCCCGUCGAUCCCCUCCCCGAUCCUCUCCCUCUCUCCUAUCGCGUCCGCGCGAGCGUCGCGAUCGAUCCCCGCGCCCCGACCCCCUUCCUGGACGAGAACGGUUGCGCUCGCCCAACGCCGUCGCGAGCGCCCUGGUCCCCUCAUUGGUCUCGAGCACCGUCAGGACCGCCGCCACGAGCGCGCUGGUGGCCGCGUCCACGUCCACGCAGACCCUGGUGUCGUGCGCUGUCGCGACCGCCUCCACGAGCUCGCCGUUGGUCGCGUCCGCGCUCGCCGGUAAAGCCCUACCAUAGGAACAAGCCACCGCCGCAAGGCCAUCCUCCGACAUGUGCCGCCGCCUCGCUCGUCCCUGAUCCGUGCCCGUCAUUUGCUGCUCCUAGGACGGAGCAUUGAAAAGGACAAGGUGCCACCGCCACAUGCAAUUUCUGCGUCGGGCCCUUCAUCACAGAGAACUAAGAUAUUUGUAUCCCUUUACAAGUAUUAUGCCUACAACUUUGGUCGCUUUCAAAGGUUAUCAGUCGUACAUGUGCACACUCAAAUGCCCUUCAGACUUAAGUGGAUCUGCGCCUGCACCUCUAUGUGAUUUGAUCUGUUUUGUUCUGAAUGUUCCUAGCCCUUGUGCUCCUCAUCCUUCUCCCUUGCCUUUAUGAUAUGUUAAACCAAGCAUUUGGCUAUUUGUAUUCAGAGAUCUUAUCCAAUUACAAGUGUAUACAUGUAUUAUGACUACUAACUUUGAUCCCUUCCAAAGAUUAUCAAGCGUACAUAUGCCACUGGUUGUCAUAUACAAGAUUAUCAAGCGUACAUGUGCCACUGGUUGUCAUAUACAACCAAAAACAUUAGUUGUAGACGGAGCUGAUUUAUAUAUACACAUGUAUUUAAACUUAGAGUGCACCUGAGACGUUUCUUACUUUAAAAUUUUAUAGGAUUUAGAUAUCUUAGUUCUGAACUUUUAAUGUCCUAAGUUGAUUGCUGGUAGUCUGGUACCAACCAAAAUCUAUUCACCAACAGAUGAUUAAAGGCAGGUGGGAGCAACCACUAAACUUUGUUGACGACACCACUGGUGAGCCCCUGUCCCUGCGUCGCCGGUGAGGACGUGCCUAGCUCCUCAACUUCCUGGUUAGAGUCAUUUCUAGGCUUCAUCGAUGACAUCAGUAAAGAUCCGGAGUCCCUACAUUGUCGGUGAGGAUGUGCCUAGCGUAGAGAUCAGGCAUCAACGCUCAUGGUGCUUGCUCGCCACCCAUUCCAGACAACACCAGUUGUGCCGCCAUCACCUCGUGCUGCUCAGAGGAAGAGAAGGUGCCACCGUCGCAUGCCAGGUGCUUAGGUCUUCAUCAUGCAGCAACAAGCACCCAACAGGACAGAUCUUGCUGCUACUUCACAGUGGAUCCGGUAGUGAAGGUUAGUGUCAAGUUCUGAACUUGGAUAACUCCUGAAAGUUUGGUUCAAUCUCAGCUCUUACCAGUUGGUAUGUGUGAUGGAUCCUAGGAGGACAUGCAAAACUUUUUUUGUUCUCUAUUUUUCUUGCUACUGCCCUAGAACAUACAUCGUGCCACAACAUCUUGUUGUUGCUUCACCUAAUAUAGUCCCAUUUCAUCUGAAUAACUGAUCCCAUUCUUUAGAGGCUUGAAUUCACAUGUGCAGAUAUAUAGGUGAAGCAGCAACCAUCAGAGAUCUAACAGUUUGGACUUUUUGAUAUGGCACCUGCUGAUGCAGGACUAAUUCCUAUGGUUCUAUCCACUACAGUGGACAUACAAUUGUCUUUACGAUCCUGUAUCUAUUGCAAAGGAGUUUGUGGUUUUUUUUUUGGAUUAUGAAAACAAAGAAGAUUCUGUCAAUUUCUAGAAACUAAGGUUAGGUGGCUUUAUCAUAUUUGUCACAUAGAUUGUUGCAAUUUUGACAGUGCACGUUUGUUUGGGUCGUAGUGUACUUUUCCAUUAGAAAAGAGAUUGGUUGUUUUUUCUGCAAAUUUUGUCUCAUCAGUUUUUUAGGGCAUAGUGUAUUUUUUUUCAAACUAAAUUUUAGGAAAAAAACGUUUCACUUUUUCCUUCUGCAGAUAUGUGCAUCAACGAAACUGAACUUUAGGGCAUUUAAAUAUAAUGUAAGAAUUAUUCAUAUGAACUAUAUAACAUUUGUCAACAAAAAUGAACUUUGGACAUUUUGCAGGAUUUGUGGUUCAAAUUCGGUCUGUUAUCCUCUAGCAAGAAAGAGAGACUAGCUAUUAGUGUUUCUCGUACAGAACAAGACAAUUCAAUCAAUUCAAUGAUGGUCCAGCUGGAGGAGCAAGAGAAGUUAUGAAUUGGAUCAAGUAUUGCUUCAGAUUUUAGAGGAAAAUAAAUAAAUAAAUAACAAAAAUAAUCUGUAUUUUUCUUCCAUACAUUUACAUUGCCAUAGCUGUGUUCAAUGUUUUGUUUUUUAUGAGGAUGUUCUAAUAAACCAUCCUGAUAGUUUGAUAAUUUUCUGAGGAUGUUUAUGAUACUAGAAUAGUCUCCCUUUGCAUGAUCGGUUGUGGAGACCAUAAUGUUUAUAAUUACAUUUUCAUUACAACUUGGUCAACUACUUAACUGGAGCUUUUUGCACUGCCUGAUGAUUGCAAACUCAAGCCUCACCCACACGGCAUGCUCUGUAUUGACACUGAGCUACCAUGCAACCUAUUUGAUUUCCGCAUGACUUUGAUUGAUAUUUAUGCAGAACAUUGGAGUGAAGGACAACAGAUUUUGCUAUUGCUAUGAAGAUAUUCCAGUAUAGUUCUCUUGUGCUUUUCAAUAUUGCUGAUCAUGAAGUUGAGUACUAUCUUCAGGAUGCCGGACGACCUCGCCAAGGCAUCGUCGCCGUGCCGCUGCUGGAGGUGACCAGGAUCGAUGACCUCGCCAAGCCGCUGUCACCGUUGGACAGGCCGAUGUCGGACGCGACUCCUGCCGCUGCCUACCGGAUGCAACAAGGCGCCUGAGACCCUGUGCCCGCGACGUCGAAGCCGUUCGGAAACCAAGCAGCUCAAGGCAGCUACCCUCCCUGCAUCGAGUGCCCUCUACCUGCGUCGUGGCCCACGUGCCAUGUUGGCCAAGGCAGACAAGAGUGGCGAGGCACACCUAGAGCUGUGCUGCGUGCUGAUGGGCCGGCCGGAGGCUGUCCUGGCAGGGUCAUCAUAAAUUCGUAAUCCUGCCUCAGCAGCCAUGACUAUGCAAAACCUUUUCUCAGUUCCAUAUGUACAGUUUUUAAAGGGGUUAAGCACUUGCUCUUGCCUCCAGCAGCUUAAGGGGCCUCUUCCUAAGAACGGACUGGUGGUUGAAAAUAAUAAACACACAAAGCCUGCUAUCUAACUGUAAGCUUCUUAUGGCUAAUAAUCACUGGUUUGACAAUGCAUUCCUAAGGGUGUGGUGGCAAAGCCAAAUUGGCCGAGAGAUAAAUUGCAGUGUUUCGCUAUAAUUAAUUUCAGUGGUCUUCAAUGCUACAGUGAUCAGAUUUGUCAAACAUUUUACAAAUAAUAAAACAUUGGAGAUCUUGAACAGAGCAUGCUAAUCUACCUGGCUGAUCUGUUUUCUCAGGUACUACUACAACUAUUGGUUCUUAUUGUUAUUUUUGUUCUCAGCUACUUGGAUACCCUGCAGCUUGUAGCAACCAAUAAUAGAACAUGUUGAUCUAGAUUUUACCUUGCCCCCAUUAUGCUUAUCUGUCUAAGAAAAGGAAUUACAGUAUAAAGUAGAAAGAAAAAUACAGAAACAGAAACAGAGCUGCAGCGAUGUGUUUGUGAA